ACCCGCUGAAUUUAAGCAUAUAAGUAAGCGGAGGAUAAGAAACUAAAUAGGAUUCCCUUAGUAAUGGCGAAUGAACAGGGAUAAGCUCAACUUGGAAAUUGUGGCCUCUGGCUACGAAUUGUAAUCUCAAGAUGCAUUGCUAAUGGAGGCGCAGGUGUAAGCCUCUUGGAAAAGAGCAUCAGUGAGGGUGAGAAUCCUGUUUGUCACUUGCAGACCUCCAUGCACGGCGUGCAUUCUAAGAGUCACGUUCCUCGGGACUGGAGCGCAAAUUGGGUGGUAAAUUUCAUCUCAAGCUAAAUACGGGAUCGAAACCGAUAGCAAACAAGUACCAUGAGGGAAAGAUGAAAAGGACUUUGAAAAGAGAGUUAAAAGUGCCUGAACUCGCUGAAAGGAAAGCGAAUGGAACCAGUCGUGCUUGGCGAGAUUGUUGCGUGCAAAGGUGACUGCUCACUGCUCGUAGCGUAAGCGCAGCAGCGGGUUUCGAUCUGGUCGCGCGCGAUGCUUCUUGCCUUGUUCGUCAUCGUUGGUUUGGAGGCGCGGACAACUCUUGGGACAUGGUAACUCGCCCACGGGCGAGCGAAUGUGCCUUGCAGAACUCACCUCCAAACUGAUGUCUCUUGUUAGGUUCUGUUGCCGUACGCGGCACGUUCUUGACAAAGCGUGGUGACAGAAUGGUUCUAUUCGACCCGUCUUGAAACACGGACCAAGGAGU
rnacentral:rRNA from 1 species